GAUGAAGAACGUAGCGAAAUGCGAUAAGUAAUGUGAAUUGCAGAAUUCAGUGAAUCAUCGAAUCUUUGAACGCACCUUGCGCUCCUGGGUAUUCCGAGGAGCAUGCCUGUUUGAGUGUCAUUAAUAUAUCAACCUCUUCAGCUUAUGCUUGUUGAGUGUUGGAUGGUGGGGGUUUGCUGGUGUCUUAUGAAGUCAGCUCCUCUGAAAUGCAUUAGCGGAACAAUUUGCUGACCGUUCAUUGGUGUGAUAAAAAUAUCUACGCUAUUGACGUCAGUCAGUUCAGCUUCUAACAGUCCAUUGACUUGGACAAAUUUUUCAUUAAUGUGACCUCAAAUCAGGUAGGACUACCCGCUGAACUUAAGCAUAUCAAUAAGCGGAGGA
rnacentral:misc_RNA from 1 species